UAUUUCAAAAUGAAGUUAAUUUAGUCCUCUUUAUCUUCAGUAAAUUGCUCUAUUAUAAGCUAAAAAGAU
rnacentral:tRNA from 1 species